CCGGAUCAAAAGGGAUUGUUUACAGAGGACAUAAGAGCCUUCCUU
rnacentral:ribozyme from 1 species